UGACCCCAGGUCAGGCGGGAUCACCCGCGAAGUUUAAGCAUAUCAAUAAGCGAAGGAAAAGAAACUUACUAGGAUUCCCCUAGUAACGGUGAGCGAACCGAAAAGAGCCCAGCUUGAGAAUCGGGUGCCCCUGGUAUUCGAAUUGUUGUCCGAAAAGCGUCCUCAACGACGGACCGAGCCCAAAUCCCUUGGAAGAGGGCGUUGGAGAGGGUGAGAGCCCCGUUGUGCCAGGACCCUAUCGCACCAUGAGGCGCUGUCUGCAAGUCGGGUUGUUCAACCCCAAUCGGGCGGUAAAUUCCAUCCAAGGCUGAAUACGAGCGAGAGACCGAUAGCGAACAAGUACUGCGAGUGAAAGAUGAAAAGGACUUUGAAAAGAGAAUCAAAGAGUGCUUGAAAUUAUUUGGAGGGAAGCGGAUGGGGGCCGACGAUGUGCUUCAGUCGGAUGUGGAACGACGAGAGCCAGUCUAUCGAUCGACUCGGGGCAUGGACUGACGUAGGUCGCGGUGACGGCCCAAGCCCGGGCUUUCGAUGUGCCCAUGGAGACAUCGUCAUCGUGAUCAUGGAAUGUAGCACACACCGUCUCGGCGUGCCCUGGCACCAGCGUGCUUCAAGCAUCGACCUGCGAGCUUCCCAUCCAGCCCGUCUUGAAACACGGACCAAGGAGUCUGAAAUGCAUGUGAAUCAAUGGGCCAAAAAACUCGUAAGGUGUAAGGAAGCUAAUUGGCGGGAUCCCUCGCGAGUGCACCACCGACCGACCUUGAUCUUUUGAGAAGGGUUCGAGUGCGAACAUGCUCGUCGGGACCCGAAAGAUGGUGAACUAUGCCUGAGCGGGGUGAAGCCAAAGGAAACUCUGGUGGAGGCCCGUAGCGAUACUGACGUGCAAAUCAUUCGUCUGACUUGGGUAUAGGGGUGAAAGACUAAUCGAACAGUCUAGUAGCUGGUUCCUUCCGAAGUUUCCCUCAGGAUAGUUGGAGCCCCCAUCGAGUUCUAUUGGGUAAAGCCAAUGAUUAGAGGCAUCAGGGGUGCAACGCCCUCGACCUAUUCUCAAACUUUAAAUAGGUAGGACUGUGUGGCUGCUCUGUUGAGCCGCGCCACGAAAUCGAGAGCUCUAAGUGGGCCAUUUUUGGUAAGCAGAACUGGUGAUGCGGGAUGAACUGAAAGUCAGGUUACGGUGCCCAACUGCAUGCUAACCCAGAACCCACAAAGGGUGUUGGUUGAUUAAGACAACAAGACGGUGGUCAUGGAAUUUGAAAUCCGCUAAGCAGUGUGUAACAACUCACCUUUCGACUGUCAGGGCAAGGGCUAGGCCCCGAUGAAUAGAAAGGCACGAUGGUCACCGUAAAACCCGGGGCACGAGCUAGGGCGGAGUGGCCGUCGAUACAGAUCUUAGUGGUAGUAGCAAAUAUUCAAAUGAAAACUUUAAAGGUCGAAGAGGGGAAAGGUUCCAUGUGAACGGAACUUGCACAUAGGUUAGUCGAUCCUAAGAGAUGGGGAAAGCUCGUUCAAUAGCGCGUCCCAUGCGAGCUUCGAAAGGGAAUUUGGUUAAAAUUCUUGAACCGGGAUGCGAUGGCUGACGGUAAUGUUAGGGAGUCCGGAGACGUCAGUGGAGGCCUCGAGAAGAAUUAUCUUUUCUGUUUAAUAGCCCAUCCACCCUAGAAAUGGCUCAGUCGAAGGUAGGUCCAAUGGCCAGAAGAGCACCGCACGUCGCAUGGUGCCCGGUGCACCCCCGACGGCCCUUGAAAAUCUGAAGGAUCGAGUGUCGUCUGUGCCCGAUCUUACUCAUAACAGCAUCAGGUCUCCAAGGUGAACAACCUCUGGUCUAUGGAACAAUGUAGGUAAGGGAAGUCAGCAAAAUGGAUUUGUAACCUCAAGAAAAGGAUUGGCUCUGAGGGUAGGGCACAAGGGUCCCAGUCUCGAACCCGUCGACUACUGGUGCACUGCUCGAGCUACUCCCACGAAGAAAGCGGGUCAUCGCGUGCCGACCGAGGGAUGGACUGUGAACGGCUCCCUCGGGGGCCUUCCCCGGGCGAUGAACAGUCAACUCAAAACUAGUAUGGACAAGGGGAAUCCGACUGUUUAAUUAAAACAAAGCAUUACGAUGGUCCCUGCAGAUGCUCACGCAAUGUGAUUUCUGCCCAGUGCUCUGAAUGUCAAAGUGAAGAAAUUCAACCAAGCGCGGGUAAACGACGGGAGUAACUAUGACUCUCUUAAGGUAGCCAAAUGCCUCAUCAUCUAAUUAGUGACGUGCAUGAAUGGAUUAACGAGAUUCCCACUAUCCCUGUCUACUAUCCAGCGAAACCACAGCCAAGGGAACGGGCUUGGCGGAAUCAACGGGGAAAAAAGACCCUGUUGAGCUUGACUCUAGUCUGACUUUGUGAAAUGACUUCAGAGGUGUAGGAUAAGUGGGAGCCCCUGGGAGAAAUUGAAAUACCACUACUUUUAACUUUAUUUUACUUAUUUCAUGAAUCAGAGGUAGGGCACGACCGCUUCUUUUGGACCCAAGGCUGGCCUCAGCCCGUCGAUCCAGGCGGAGGACAUUGUCAGGUGGGAAGUUUGGCUGGGGUGGCACAUCUGUUAAAAGAUAAAGCAGGUGUCCUAAGAUGAGCUCAAUGAGAACAAAAAUUUCGUGUGGAACAAAAGGGUAAAAGCUCGUUUGAUUUUGAUUUCCUGUACGAAUACGAACAGUGAAAGCAUGGCCUAUCGAUCCUUUAGACCUUCAGGAUUUGAAGCUAGAGGUGUCAGAAAAGUUACCACAGGGAUAACUGGCUUGUGGUAGCCAAGCGUUCAUAGCGACGUUACUUUUUGAUCCUUCGAUGUUGGCUCUUCCUACUAUCAUUGUGAAGCAGAAUUAACCAAGUGUUGGAUUGUUCAUGCACCAAUAAGAAACGUGAGCUGGGUUUAGACCAUCAUGAGACAGGUUAGUUUUACCCUACUGAUGGCGACGUCGCUAUAGUAACUUAACCUAGUACGAGAAGAACCGUUGAUUCACAUAAUUGGUCAUCGCGCUUGGUUGAAAAGCCAUGGCGCGAAGCUACCGUGCGUUGGAUUAUGACUGAACGCCUCUACGUCAGAAUUCAGGCUAGAAGCGACACACGUGCCCGUUGCCCGAUUGCCGACCCGCAGUAAGGGCAUAUGGCCCCCAAGGGCACGUGUCGUAGGUGCAGCCCCCGCGGUGGACGAGUCGCGAGGGCCUCUUUGGAGCUCAAUUCCAAUAAACGAUGGGUACAAUCCUU
rnacentral:rRNA from 1 species